rnacentral:rRNA from 1 species
AGAGUUUGAUCAUGGCUCAGAUUGAACGCUGGCGGCAUGCCUUACACAUGCAAGUCGAACGGUAGAGUAGCAAUACUCGAGAGUGGCGAACGGGUGAGUAAUAUAUCGGAACGUGCCCAGUCGUGGGGGAUAACGUAGAGAAAUUUACGCUAAUACCGCAUACGAUCUAAGGAUGAAAGCGGGGGAUUCGCAAGAACCUCGCGCGAUUGGAGCGGCUGAUAUCAGAUUAGGUUGUUGGUGAGGUAAAAGCUCACCAAGCCGACGAUCUGUAGCUGGUUUGAGAGAACGACCAGCCACACUAGGACUGAGACACGGCCCAGACUCCUACGGGAGGCAGCAGUGGGGAAUUUUGGACAAUGGGCGAAAGCCUGAUCCAGCAAUGCCGCGUGCAGGAAGAAGGCCUUCGGGUUGUAAACUGCUUUUGUACGGAACGAAAAGGCUCUUUCUAAUAAAGAGGGCCCAUGACGGUACCGUAAGAAUAAGCACCGGCUAACUACGUGCCAGCAGCCGUGGUAAUACGUAGGGUGCGAGCGUUAAUCGGAAUUACUGGGCGUAAAGCGUGCGCAGGCGGUUCUAUAAGACAGAUGUGAAAUCCCCGGGCUCAACCUGGGAAUGGCAUUUGUGACUGUAGAGCUAGAGUACGGUAGAGGGGGAUGGAAUUCCGCGUGUAGCAGUGAAAUGCGUAGAUAUGCGGAGGAACACCGAUGGCGAAGGCAAUCCCCUGGACCUGUACUGACGCUCAUGCACGAAGCGUGGGGAGCAAACAGGAUUAGAUACCCUGGUAGUCCACGCCCUAAACGAUGUCAACUGGUUGUUGGGUGCAUUAGUACUCAGUAACGAAGCUAACGCGUGAAGUUGACCGCCUGGGGAGUACGGCCGCAAGGUUGAAACUCAAAGGAAUUGACGG